rnacentral:rRNA from 1 species
UCCUACGGGAGGCAGCAGUGAGGAAUAUUGGUCAAUGGGCGGGAGCCUGAACCAGCCAAGCCGCGUGAGGGAAGAAGGUACAGCGUAUCGUAAACCUCUUUUGCCGGGGAGCAAGGGCGGGGACGUGUCCCGGCCCGGAGAGUACCCGGAGAAAAAGCAUCGGCUAACUCCGUGCCAGCAGCCGCGGUAAUACGGAGGAUGCGAGCGUUAUCCGGAUUUAUUGGGUUUAAAGGGUGCGUAGGCGGACUGUUAAGUCAGCGGUAAAAGCCCGGGGCUCAACCCCGGCGAGCCGUUGAAACUGGCUG